UAGGGAAUCUUCCGCAAUGGACGCAAGUCUGACGGAGCAACGCCGCGUGAGUGAAGAAGGAUUUCGGUUCGUAAAACUCUGUUGUUAGAGAAGAACAGCGCAUAGAGUAACUGUUAUGCGUGUGACGGUAUCUAACCAGAAAGCCACGGCUAACUACGUGCCAGCAGCCGCGGUAAUACGUAGGUGGCAAGCGUUGUCCGGAUUUAUUGGGCGUAAAGCGAGCGCAGGCGGUCAAUUAAGUCUGAUGUGAAAGCCCCCAGCUCAACCGGGGAGGGUCAUUGGAAACUGGUUGACUUGAGUGCAGAAGAGGAGAGUGGAAUUCCAUGUGUAGCGGUGAAAUGCGUAGAUAUAUGGAGGAACACCAGUGGCGAAGGCGACUCUCUGGUCUGUAACUGACGCUGAGGCUCGAAAGCGUGGGUAGCAAACAGG
rnacentral:rRNA from 1 species